rnacentral:lncRNA from 1 species
UGACUGUCUGAAGGUAACCCAGUACUGACUGUCUGAAGGUAACCCAGUACUGGCUGUCUGAAGGUAACCCAGUACAGACUGUCUGAAGGUGACCCAGUACAGGCUGUCUGAAGGUAACCCAGUACAGGCUGUCUGAAGGUAACCCAGUACAGGCUGUCUGAAGGUGACCCAGUACAGACUGUCUGAAGGUAACCCAGUACUGACUGUCUGAAGGUGACCCAGUACUGACUGUCUGAAGGUAACCCAGUACUGACUGUCUGAAGGUAACCCAGUACUGGCUGUCUGAAGGUAACCCAGUACAGACUGUCUGAAGGUGACCCAGUACAGGCUGUCUGAAGGUAACCCAGUACAGGCUGUCUGAAGGUAACCCAGUACUGACUGUCUGAAGGUAACCCAGUACUGACUGUCUGAAGGUAACCCAGUAAUGACUGUCUGAAGGUAACCCAGAACUGACUGUCUGAAGGUAACCCAGUACUGGCUGUCUGAAGGUAACCCAAUACUGACUGUCUGAAGGUAACCCAGUACUGGCUGUCUGAAGGUAACCCAGUACUGGCUGUCUGAAGGUAACCCAGUACUGGCUGUCUGAAGGUAACCCAGUACUGGCUGUCUGAAGGUAACCCAGUACUGGCUGUCUGAAGGUAACUCAGUACUGGCUGUCUGAAGGUAACUCAGUACUGGCUGUCUGAAGGUAACCCAGUACUGGCUGUCUGAAGGUAACCCAGUACUGGCUGUCUGAAGGUAACCCAGUACUGGCUGUCUGAAGGUGACCCAGUACUGGCUGUCUGAAGGUGACCCAGUACUGACUGUCUGAAGGUGACCCAGUACUGACUGUCUGAAGGUGACCCAGUACUGACUGUCUGAAGGUGACCCAGUACUGACUGUCUGAAGGUAACCCAGUACUGGGCCGGAAAAUGAAUGGAAGUGAAUAGGUCAUUUCCACAUCAAAGGGUCAUUCCACUGUAAAACAAUUAUAAAUAAAUCCUGAGCUUUCUUACAGCGCUCAGAUAUAAGACAGACACCUCGAAACAUACUUUAAAAAAAAAAUGAAAUGUUGUUGACUAGCUGUUUGACCAUGUUUAGACACAUCUCAGAAUGUCCUCUCCUUUCGGGUGUCGUUAAAAAGGUCCUUGUUCGUUUGUUGAAUUUUCUCAGUCGAAUGAAAAAGCAUUUAGAAAUGUAUUCUAAACUCAGUGUAUUUUUUAAUUAUUGAUUACUAAUAAACAGUAUUUAGCG